CCUACGGGUGGCAGCAGUGGGGAAUAUUGGACAAUGGGGGCAACCCUGAUCCAGCCAUGCCGCGUGUGUGAAGAAGGCCCUCGGGUUGUAAAGCACUUUCAGUGAGGAAGAACGCCUGGUGGUUAAUACCCAUCAGGAAAGACAUCACUCACAGAAGAAGCACCGGCUAACUCCGUGCCAGCAGCCGCGGUAAUACGGAGGGUGCGAGCGUUAAUCGGAAUUACUGUGCGUAAAGCGCGCGUAGGUGGCUUGAUAAGCCGGUUGUGAAAGCCCCGGGCUCAACCUGGGAACGGCAUCCGGAACUGUCAAGCUAGAGUGCAGGAGAGGAAGGUAGAAUUCCCGGUGUAGCGGUGAAAUGCGUAGAGAUCGGGAGGAAUACCAGUGGCGAAGGCGGCCUUCUGGACUGACACUGACACUGAGGUGCGAAAGCGUGGGUAGCAAACAGGAUUAGAUACCCUGGUAGUC
rnacentral:rRNA from 1 species